UUCACCUACGGGGCGCAGCAGUGAGGAAUAUUGAUCAAUGGGCUUACGCCUGAACCAGCCAAGUCGCGUGAGGGAAGACUGCCCUAUGGGUUGUAAACCUCUUUUGUCAGGGAGCAACGCCGGCUACGUGUAGCCGGACUGAGAGUACCUGAAGAAUAAGCACCGGCUAACUACGUGCCAGCAGCCGCGGUAAUACGUAGGGUGCGAGCGUUAAUCGGAAUUACUGGGCGUAAAGGGUGUGCAGGCGGCUGAGUAAGACAGAUGUGAAAUCCCCGGGCUUAACCUGGGAACCGCAUAUGUGACUG
rnacentral:rRNA from 1 species